rnacentral:rRNA from 1 species
CAGCCGCCACGGUAAUACGAAGGGUGCAAGCGUUAAUCGGAAUUACUGGGCGUAAAGGGCGCGUAGGCGGCUUGUACAGUCAGAUGUGAAAUUCCUGGGCUCAACCUGGGGACUGCAUUUGAUACGUACGGGCUUGAGUGGAGAAGAGGGUUGUGGAAUUUCCAGUGUAGAGGUGAAAUUCGUAGAUAUUGGAAAGAACACCGGUGGCGAAGGCGGCAACCUGGUCUUUAACUGACGCUGAGGCGCGAAAGCGUGGGGAGCAAACAGGAUUAGAGACACCCGUAGUCCCUGUCUCUUAUAC